GAUGAACGCUGGCGGCGUGCCUAAUACAUGCAAGUCGAGCGAACAGACGAGGAUCUUGCUCCUCUGAUGUUAGCGGCGGACGGGUGAGUAACACGUGGCUUACCUCCCUCUAUGACUUGGCUACCUUCGAGAAACCGUAGUUCCUACCGGUUAACAUGUUCAACCUCAUGGUUCAACAGUGAAAGCCGGUCUUGCUGUCACUUCUAGAUGGAUCCGCGCCGCAUUAGCUAGUUGGUAAGGUCACGGCUUACCAAGGCAACGAUGCGUAGCCGACCUGAGAGAGGGAUAGGCCACAAUGGAAAUGAGACAGGGUCAAGAGUACUAAGAGAGGCAGCAGUAGGGAAUGGGCCGCAAUGGGCGAAAGCCUGACGGAGCAACGCAGCGUGAGUGAAGAAGGUGUUCGGAGCGUAAAAAACGGUUAUGAGGGAAGAACAAAUGUGUAAGUAAAUAUGCACGUCUUGACGGUACCUAAUCAGAAAGCCACGGCUAACUACGUG
rnacentral:rRNA from 1 species